AUGAAUGAGACCAUGUUACAGAGGGGGAGUCCUCCACGCCCCUCUGCGCUUGCCUUAGGACAGUUUCCCUCCCAUUGCUAUUAUCAUAGCUGUGUUCAUCGCCAUGGCAACUGUUGUGAUGGUGGUGAAUAUUAUUUUAUGGAGACGGUGUCUGUCCCUCGACCCAUAUUUCACAAUGAUUUUAACAUAAAAUCAAAUAAAAGAGCUAUCAAUUAUAAAAAUCUGAAAAAAAUUUUAAUCUCAAAUCUAGAAACACCAAAACAUAAAACCAUUAGAUGUGCUCUAUUAAAUAUUAGAUCACUGAGAUCCAAAUCUCUACUAGUAAAUGACCUUAUCUCAGAAAAUAACUUUGAUUUAUUCUGUUUAACUGAAACAUGGCUGUAUCAAGACGAAUAUGUUAGUUUAAAUGAAGCCACUCCUCCCAGUCAUUUAAAUACUCAUAUGCCACGAGACAUAGGCCGUGGAGGUGGUGUAGCAGCUAUUUAUCAUUCCUCUCUCCUAAUCUAUCCUAAACCAAAGGCCAACUACACUUCCUUUGAAAGCCUGGUUUUAAAUUUAUCUCAUACCAAAUCAAAAACCUGCCAGCCAGUCUUAUUUGCGAUAAUUUACCGUCCUCCAGGCCCUUAUUCUGAAUUUCUAUCAGAAUUCUCUGAGUUUAUAUCAAACUUAGUCCUCAGUUCUGAUAAAAUACUGAUAGUAGGAGAUUUUAAUAUCCAUGUUGACAAAGAUAGUGAUAGCCUGAGCUCAGCCUUUAUGUCCCUAAUAGACUCAGUUGGCUUUUUUCAAACUAUUAAUGAAGCUACUCAUCGUUUAAAUCAUACUCUUGAUCUUGUUCUAACAUAUGGCCUUGAUAUUAAUGAACUAAAAGUCUACCCUGAAAAUCCUCUGCUAUCAGAUCACUUUUUAAUAUCUUUUAACAUUAUAUUAGAGGAUCUCGCACUGUGCAAUAAAAUAGUUACGAGUAGAAAUCUGUCCAAUAGUGCUGUGGCUAAAUUUAAAGAGGCCAUUCCUGCUGCCUUAAACUCAGUGCACCAUCCAAUAAAUAACUAUGAUAUUAAUUAUAACCCCUCUCAACUGGAUCUGCUUGUCGAUAGCUCUGCUAGCCUACUAAAAUCUACCUUGGACUCAAUUGGCCCAUUGAGGGGAAAAAACUAUUAA
rnacentral:lncRNA from 1 species